rnacentral:rRNA from 1 species
AGAGUUUGAUCCUGGCUCAGAACGAACGCUGGCGGCAGGCCUAAUACAUGCAAGUCGAGCGCCCAGCAAUGGGAGCGGCGGACGGGUGCGUAACACGUGGGAACGUACCCUUCGGUUCGGAAUAACUCAGGGAAACUUGAGCUAAUACCGAUUACGCCCGAAAGGGGAAAGAUUUAUCGCCGAAGGAUCGGCCCGCGUUCGAUUAGCUAGUUGGUGGGGUAAUGGCUCACCAAGGCAACGAUCGAUAGCUGGUUUGAGAGAACGACCAGCCACACUGGGACUGAGACACGGCCCAGACUCCUACGGGAGGCAGCAGUAGGGAAUCUUGGACAAUGGGGGAAACCCUGAUCCAGCCAUGCCGCGUGAGUGAUGAAGGCCUUCGGGUUGUAAAACUCUUUCGCGCACGACGAUAAUGACGGUAGUGCGAGAAGAAGCUCCGGCUAACUUCGUGCCAGCAGCCGCGGUAAUACGAAGGGGGCUAGCGUUGUUCGGAAUUACUGGGCGUAAAGCGCGCGCAGGCGGCUUUUCAAGUCAGGGGUGAAAGCCCGGAGCUCAACUCCGGAACUGCCUCUGAGACUGUGAAGCUUGAGUACGGGAGAGGUGAGUGGAAUUCCGAGUGUAGAGGUGAAAUUCGUAGAUAUUCGGAAGAACACCGGUGGCGAAGGCGGCUCACUGGCCCGUUACUGACGNNCAGGCGCGACAGCGUGGGGAGCAAACAGGAUUAGAUACCCUAGUAGUCC